CAAACGACUCUCGGCAACGGAUAUCUCGGCUCASGCAUCGAURAAGAACGUAGCAAAAUGCGAUACUUGGUGUGAAUUGCAGAAUCCCGUGAACCAUCGAGUUUUUGAACGCAAGUUGCGCCCAAAGCCAUCCGGCCGAGGGCACGCCUGCCUGGGCGUCACGC
rnacentral:rRNA from 1 species